GUUUGAGUCUGUCUUUUUUCAAUUUUAUAAGCUGAAAAACGGACAUUUUUAAAUAGUAUUCGGCAUCUGUAAGCAUGCUUUCUUUAUGGCACUUAGUUUAGUUUUGAGGCGCACUUCAGUCGACGGACUUUAAAACGCCACAUUUUAGUGACGCCCUUGUUAGUGAGUUUGACAUUAUUGAUGUAGACUUUUAGUUUAGUGACUGGCUCGACUGUGUCCCCAUCUGUAAUAAAAGUUAGUCAUUGUGCUAUCUCAAGUUUGGAUUCUGUAUCGACUCUCUGUGACUGUGUUAGCUAUGUAUUGAUCUCGCACUUGUAGUUCACUACACAGUACACCCAAGCAUCUAUGAUUCUUACCAAGGUAAUAGAGAAUAUAGAAAUAUAGAACUCCAAUUCACACACACAUCAAAUCCAAUCAUGAAUAGUAAAGAUGACGACUAUUAUUAUUAUUAUUAUUAUGUUAGAAAAGAAUGACUAUUCAUUCUCUGGCGCUGCCAGGGUCGAGUUUAGUUAAAGGGAAAGAAAAUUCAUCGUAGUCACAUUAUCAGUUUCCACUGACGAAUUUUCUGGUGAUGUAGCAGGUCUGCAGCAGUACCGUCCUCUGACAGGCAACGAGGAUGUUCCUAGGAAUGUUAAGGGCCUUUUUAUUAUUAUUAUUACAGUGCACAGUCUAGCUCAAACCAUUUCAUUCCUCCCUUUCUCUCGACCAACACACGAGUCUUGCCUAUGUAACUCUAACUUCAAAGGAGUAAAGAUUUGAAGCUAAAAUGUAAACUCUAUGUAUUAUAUAUUGUAAAUGUUUAUUCCAAGUCGAGGUUACACUUGUCUUGUCUACGCUGUCGAAGCAUCAGCAGACAUUCCAGAUGUAUCUGAUAAACUAUUGGGUCAGGUGAUCAAACCUGAUCAACAGUGUCAACAGUUUUUUGGAAAUGAUUCCUUCUGAACUUUUGCAGGGCUUCCGAAUCUAGACGCUCUAUCAUUGAAAUCUGCCAAGCAAUGUUAUGUGCAGAUGUUUUAAGAGGGUUAUGUAUCCCGCAUAUAGCACUCACUGGAACAUCUUGUGGCAAUGGAAAGGUCUGCAUAAAUGGACAAUGUGUCAGCGACCCAUACGCUCCUCAAAUUGAUGAAAACUGCAUUUGGAGACAGACCGAGCUAUUCUUGCAGUUUGUAUAUCAAUGACUUUAUGGGCAACUGUUACUCUACUCUAUCGAGCAUGUUGUGACACGUGUAACAAAGUGUCUAGGCCCGUGAAAGGCUGUGAAUACGGAGAUAGAAUCAUCGAUUGUACAAAAGAUCACUGCUUGAAUUCACAAGUGGAUUGCUGCGGCACGUGUAACUAUGGCACCCCCUUUACCCCAAUGUAUAGCACCAGAAGAAGCACACCUGAAAGAUUAGCCAUGACAGUAAAUCCCCUUGUGCUAUUCACUUCAAUUAAAGAUUGUGUGAACAAGACUUGAGACCAGAACUGUGCACUAACUUUAGCGUCUGCCUAAUACAGCCAACACAGUGCUGUCACUACUGCUCGUCAUAUUACACGUCUGCAACUACAAGUACCACGACAACGAGACCAUUGAUAACAUCCACUUCACCCAAAACUAAAUGUGAACCAGGAGAUCUAGACUUGAGGCCAGAACUGUGCACUAACACUAGUGUCUGCCAGACAAAGUCAUCACUAUGCUGUCACUAUUGCUCGUUACAUUACAAGUCUGCAAAUACAAGUACCACACAAUUAACGCCCCCCAACGAGUGUGUACUAGGAGAACCAGAUUUAAGUCCACAGCUGUGUACUAGCCUUAGUAUCUGCCAGACACAGCCAUUGAUGUGCUGUAAAUAUUGUUCUUCCCAAGACAAUUCUGCAAGCCAUCUCUCUUUAUACACUAUUUGGAUAUAUUGUUUUUGUAUUGUGUUCUUUCUUUAUAUUAAAACAAAUGUCUAUUAGGUAGAUAAAGUACAAAUGUCUAUUAAGUAGAUAAAGUAUAAAUGUCUAUUAGGUAGCUAAAGUACAAGACUCUUAGGUAGAUAAAGUACUUACCCUUGUUCGGAAUUUUUUUAAAGUUUUUGUCUAUUUCUUAUCUUUAUACCAUUUUAAGCAUUGUUUACACAAGGAAAUCAAUUAUAAUGAAGCAAUCUAUCAAUCAUAAUGAAGCAAUCGUUGGUGUACUGUGCAUGAAAUAAUAGACCUCUAAAACAUGUAACCAGGGCCGGCCUUAGAUAAUGAGCCUCCUUGUCCUUAUCAUUAUGAGGAACAUUUUGUACAUCCUCUUAUAAUUCUGGAUCUAGAGAUAAAUUAUGUUGCCUGUUUUUAUUUCUUUUAUUAAACAGUUUCAAGUUCUUUA